AGUGAACGCUGGCGGUAGGCCUAACACAUGCCAGUCGAACGGCAGCACAGUAAGAGCUUGCUCUUACGGGUGGCGAGUGGCGGACGGGUGAGGAAUACAUCGGAAUCUACUUUUUCGUGGGGGAUAACGUAGGGAAACUUACGCUAAUACCGCAUACGACCUACGGGUGAAAGCAGGGGAUCUUCGUACCUUGCGCGAUUGAAUGAGCCGAUGUCGGAUUAGCUAGUUGGCGGGGUAAAGGCCCACCAAGGCGACGAUCCGUAGCUGGUCUGAGAGGAUGAUCAGCCACACUGGAACUGAGACACGGUCCAGACUCCUACGGGAGGCAGCAGUGGGGAAUAUUGGACAAUGGGCGCAAGCCUGAUCCAGCCAUACCGCGUGGGUGAAGAAGGCCUUCGGGUUGUAAAGCCCUUUUGUUGGGAAAGAAAAGCAGCAGGUUAAUACCCCGCUGUUCUGACGGUACCCAAAGAAUAGGCACCGGCUAACUUCGUG
rnacentral:rRNA from 1 species